rnacentral:lncRNA from 1 species
GAGAUCUUGCACACUGCUUUUACACCUUUUUGGUUAGUAAUGCAUGUUAGCAAAGAAUAACAUGUAUUACAAGCCAACACAACAAAUUGAGAAAAAUAGAAGUGUAUAUAAAAGAAUUAUCUCUUGUGAAUAGCAGCGGAUUCUUCAAAGUAAUUUACAUUAAUAAAUGCUGUCUUCUUUUAUGGUUUACACUCACAAAGAAGUUAUUCAACAACCACCAAUAAGCACUUAAGCCUUUUCAGACUAGGUGGUGCCAGUGUAUUAAUAGCUAACUAGCAUCUAACAAAAAACAAAGUUAACUAACUACCAACUGAUGCAGUUGUUCAAUACUAGUGUAAUACAGUGAAAUAGAUCAAACAAUGUUGUCGUGAAUUAUAUUCAUACAACACAAACCAUUGACCUCUAAAUCCUUCUUAAUGGUUUCACCUGUUGUAUGUAUCACUGUAGUCAAGAAAAAACCACAAACAAAUUAUUUAAGGAUGUAACCAAUGGGACUAUUGCACGGGAAUGGGUAGAAUUAGCAAAAUAAAACAAUGCAUAACAUCAAAUGGAAAAUUGUGAUACCAAAGCCAAACAUUGGUAAUGAGCUGUAGACAUCUGUGACCUACACAUGCAAAAUCUAAAACAUAAAUGAUCUCAUUAAAAAGUGAACCAAUCUGCAGAAUGGAAAUAUAAUUUUAUUUUUUAUUUUCAGUAUCUAGCAAGAUUUGAAAAGUAUAAAAUAAAUCUAGUACGUAUGGUUUUAUUAGCAAUAGAGUGUCUUGUUUAAUAAAAUAAAACAUAUUAAUAAAAAAGAAAAUAACUACCGAAAGGAAGAUUUGAAUGCUAAAGAACCACAAUUUAUUGAAAAUGGUUUAUAUUAGAGCGAUUAUGUGGACAGGUGAAAAGACAAAAGGGACACAAUAUAAGGUCUAACUCAGAAAAGUGGCUGAACAAUAUUUGUUCAUGUGCGACAAUUAUGUAUUACUCUAUUUUUACAAGUGUAUUACUAAUGUUAGUCUUGGUUAGUGGUCAGUAGAGCAGUCACUAUGAUAGCUGUAUAUGUAUGCUCUAUAUAAGAGCUUCUUGUAACAGAUUGCAACUACUUCCAAUAAUAACAUAUUCAGUUUACUCUCUUUUUUUCCUCAAAAUUAUGUUUCAAUUCUAUUAGAGCUAGACUAUCUAAAAGACUCAAAAUCUUCCUCCUUCCCCUUCCGCUACUGCCUAUGUGAAUAUUUCUGAGAAGCUCAAUGAUUCGAACUGUUCUGCUAUGGCAACAACAUGUGGGAUUGUGCAUCAAAUUACACUGAUUGCAGCAUUGUGUAGUUGAAUCCUAUUAUUCCGCUUUGAUUUCUCAUCAAAGCUGAUUACGAUUCUGGAAAGUACUUAUCCAGCCUUCAUUCCUCUCAAGAAUGGGAUAAGAUCCAUGAAUAUUUUCAGACAAACAAGAACAGGAGUGAGGCAGCACGCAUUGAGCUCCAAUCGAAGGUUCUUGAAGAUUGAUCUGUCAGACUUUUUUCGCAUCAAAGCCCUUGUUGAUUGCCUGGCUUCUAUUCACAAUCCGUAGUUUGCUUCAAGAACAGAUGGAUGUUGUUCUAGAAGGACUACUACAAGAGUAUUAAAAUCAAUUAUUAUCCAACACGUUUUCACAACUGUGAUUGCAAUCCAAGGUUUAAAAUCAUGAACUGUAGAUCACCUGACACGGACAUAAUAUCUUAAUUGUGGCCACCACUGCCAUUGCAUUUUUGCAUUUAACAGCCACAAUCAUGACAGAAACUGAGAUUUAAAAUCCCGCAAAGACAUAAAUCUCUAUUUAUUCUUAAACUAUGACCAUGCAAAGACAACUACACCCUCUACUCAUUAUGUACUGAAGUGGCCACUUACAUAACCAAGAUGACGAAAAUCAUUAUACAAACCGAGCCUGUUCAAUAUAUAACAUCCAACUAAACUACAUUUCAGCUGAGAUAGUUAAUGAGCAGUGACUAUUUCAAAGGAGCCUAUUCAAGUGAUAUAUCGAGAGAUGAGUAGCUGGGUUCAAAACAAAAAUUAAAAGAAGGAUUUAGAGUAUGUGAAGUUAUGAACCAUAGGAAUCCAAAGACCAAAACAUUUUAACAUCUUACUCAUAUUCUUCUUAAAACAAAACUUGAGAAAUGCCUCCCAACACAAGAUAAGCAAGGGGGAAAACAAAAAACAGACCUACUCAAGGUGAAUUUCUGGAAGCUUACAUGAACUAGAUUAAUCUAAUAUUCAGCGUCCAGUCAUUCUGAGAGGCAUCAUAUGUAUUUUUUUAACCAUUCUUUGCCAAGGAGAAUAUUUUCAUCAGGAAAAUGUCAUGAUCACUUAAGUCUUCUGGUUUUAAGAUUAACCUUAAUGCCAACAGGCACUUGAGACAAAGAAAUAAUCAUUAUCCGUGGACAAACCAUCUUGUUAAAUGUGCUACCAGGCAUAGGCAGUGAAGAAAUUCUUAAACAUGCAAGCCAUUUAGCAAUAAGCCAGUAUUGGAUACUGAAUCACCAAGACCAUCAGAGUCCAUCUUCAAUAACCAGAGAAAAAGUACAUAAUAAAAAAACACAAGGCUAGUUGGAUACGUUCUUAGUGUAUUAUUGAAAUUCCGAAAUGGAUGCAAGAACAGGAAAAGGGUCACAACUCAGUAUGAGUCAUACCCUACACUCACUAACAGAAUUCAGACAGAGACAAGAAGGACAGGUAGAGAAAGAAUUCAGUACAGAAAGGUUACACACCGAUUUCCCCCUUUUUUUCCAUCUCCAUGAUCCUUAAAUCAUGUAAUCUUCACGUAGUCACCCCACUUUCUAUUAGGCACCUUCUCUCUCUCUCUCUCUCAGUCUUAUGUGUGUCUCUUAUUUUUUUAUCCUGUGCCAUGUGUCUCAUGCCUCGAACCGACUCAGAUUUUUUCCCUUUGCUGCUUGGUCCUUCAGUAACCUUUUUUUUUUAUAUUUGAGUCCCUUACAAUUCCCCCUCCAUUGACACUAACCUUGUCCUCAAGGUUGAAAUUGGGAUAAUGCUUCUGUAUCACUGCGACCUCCCUCUUCCUAAGUUGCUACCAUUUCAAGCAUGCCUUCCCACUAAAGCAAUACCUGCGGUAUCUGCUGUCUAUUUUUUAUCAUAAUUACCAAUUUACCACAGUCCAACACUUUUAUUGGCUGAAGUAAUGGACCUUUUUCAUUAGUCAAUAGCGAAAUUGGCAUAUAAGGUUGUGAUGCAUCUCCCUUAAAUGAUUUAAGGACUGAUACAUGGAACACAGGGUGGAUCAUUGCACAAGUAGGUAGUUUGAGUUUUAUAAGUCAUCAUCAUUAUUCUCUUCUUAUCGACUUGUAUCUUCAUAUGUAGUUGAGCUCUUUCUAGAUUUUUCUUCAACUAAUCCAAUGGAACAUUUCUCUAUUGCAAUAGCUCCUUGAUUGAAAGAGGAUCUGAAUCAUUAACGUUGCUAUUGUUGCAAGAUUUGUAAGACUGUCUCUAAGUGUUGUAGAUGUGUGUAUCAACAUGGACUGUAAACCAAGAUAUCAUAAAGAAAAACAAUAAUGAUUUUCACAACUGUUGUUGAAAGAUCUUAUUCAUGAGGCUCUGAUAGGUUGUUGAGGCAUUAGUCAACCCAAAAGUCAUGACUAGCCAUUCGUAAUGUUCUUGGUGUGUCCUAAAGGUUGUUUUCAUCCUAUAUUCAGGCCUCAUCAGAAUUUGGUGAUAGCCAGACCUCAAAUCCAGCUUGGAGAAAUAUUGAUCCCCAUAUAAUUCAUCUAGCAAUUCAUCCACAGUCGGCAUUGGAAAAGCAUCUUUUAUUGAUACCGCAUCUAAAGGCUCUAUAAUCUGUGCAGAACCUCCAACUCCCAUCUUUUUUUUUCUUAACCAAGACAACAGGAGAAGGAAAUGAAUUGUUGUUUGGUUGUAUGAGGCCUUUUUUCAACAUCUUUUGUAUCAUCUUUUCAAUUUGAUUCUUGUGGAUGUGCGGGUAUCUAUACAGUCUUACUUUCACUGGGUCAACUCCAUGAACCAAAUUAAUCGCAUGAUUUUGAUCACUUUUUGGUGGCAACCCAGUAGGAGUAUCAAAAACCUUUCUAUACGUAUGCAGUAAUUGAGUCAACUUAGGUUCCACAUCACUCGGAAUUCCCUACAAUUGGUCCUUGAGAUUUUCAGUCGGUUGACAUUGCAACAGGGAGGAUUGUUCAGUGGAAUUAGUGUUUUGCAACCUUCUCAAAUGAUGAAAUUCAACUUGUAUCAUGUAAUUAGAUUUUUUUCCUUGUGAUGUGACAAAAUGGCCAUCCACAUAGAGCUUUAGGGUGCUGAAAUCUGCCACAUGUGGUCCCAACGUUGCCAACCAAGAAGCUCCAAUACUAAAUCUACUCCAGUUAUAGGCAAUAGGAAAGUUGAUAAAUACAAGACAUGGUUUUGUAUUUUCACCUGUAUGUUUCUUACACACCCUUCCGCAGUCAUUGUACUGCAAUUCCCCACCAAAACUUUGAACUGAGGGGUCAGCUCAAUUGGUAACUUCAGAAAAUUAACAAUUUGUGGUUGAAUAAAAUUGACUAAUGAAUACAAUACACACCCUACAUUUGUCCUUGAAAUUUCAAGGUGCCCAAACCAUUAGCUCUUUUUAAAGCAUUGUAAGAGAGAUAAUGCUCUGUCUCCAAUAUUUCUACAUAGGGAGGAGGGUCUGGAUCUAUUGUUUGCUUCUCGAAUUCAUGAACUUGCAGCAAAAACAUGUGUUUAUUUGGGCAUCUAUGGUUUGGGGUGAACUUCUCAUCACUUGUGUAACAUAAAUUCUUUUCUCUUCUAAUUUGCAUAUCUGUUGGAGUCAUUCUCUUCACAUUGCUAGCGUUCACCACUUGAGAAAGAGGUCUAAUGUUUGGUGUAUGGAGGAAUGGGGAAGGUUGGUGUUUUUGUUUUGAUGUGAUGGUAUAUUUGAGUGGAACCUAUUGGCUAAAUAUAGAAGGGUUUUUAUUAGUAUAUUUUUCCUCAUACAAUCUAGCUAGGGCCACACCUUUUGGAAUGAAUUAUGGGCCCUGAGCAAUCACGUCCCUUUGGAUUUCUGGUUUUUACCCACUCAAAAAAACAAACCAACAGUGCAUCAGUUGACAAGCAUGUAACUCGGUUUGAUAAAGCUAUGAAUGAAUGGUACAACUCACUCACCGAUCCAGUUUGGGACAACUUGAACAAAGUAGAGAAAAAUCAAUGAAAGCACCAACGUAAUAACCAGAGAAAAAUCACCAAAAAAAACACAAGGCUAGUUGGAUACAUUCUCAGUGUAUUAUUCAAAUUCCGAAAUGGAUACAAGGACAAGGAAAAGGGUCGCAACUGAGUAUGAGUCAUACCUUACACUCACUAAUGGAAUUCAGACGGAGACAAGAAAGACAUAUAGAAAGAGAAUUCAGUACAGAAAGGUUACACCCUGAUUUCCCUCUUUUUUCCCACCUCCAUGAUCCUUAAAUCAUGUAAUCUUAACAUAGUCACCUCACUUUCCGUUAAGCACCUUCUCUCUCUCAAUCUUACGUGUGUCCCUUCUUUUUUGAUCCUGUGCCAUGUGUCACAUGCCUCCAAUUGACGCCGAUUCUUCCCCUUUGUUGCUUGAUCCUUAAAUAACUUCUUUCUUUAUAUUUGAGUCCCUCACACCAUCCUAUCUAGGGCUUACUAGCAAAACCUCCUAACCAAGUGGAUCCUAUAUCAACUACUAUGACCAAAUUAUAUUAUAUAAGCAUAUACACAAUCACUUUAAAAGUUCCUUAAAAUUCACUUACUAAGAGAUCCCUUUUUAAAUCUAGAGCCCGUCACCAAAUCCCCCUAUUAGCACCUUGAACUUCUUAAGACACCGUAUUAGUGAUUUUUGUCAAUGUCAUCUUUCUUAAAAGAAAAAACAAAACAUUCAUGUGUGUAAAUAAUUAGUAUCUCGUAAUGAUUUCACAAACAUCAUCAGCAACAACAAUAAAGGCGCCUUUUCUCUAUUACUCUCACCACUCAAACACAAUUCCUGUGUUCUCGUUCUCUAGCAAAGUCAGCAACUUUUGGGGCCAAAGACGCCACAUUGUCAAUCAACAAAAAAGAAAGCCAACCAAACCAUUGAACAAACUCAGUCCAAAAAGGACAGACAACAAAAACAAUCAAAUUUACAACUUCACUACAAAAUUUCACAAACCCAUAUUUUAAACAAUAAAAUAAAAUUACCAUGGCGGGCUUUCCAGCAACAAGUGAAGCACAUUGUGCACCACCCCAUCAAUGAAAGGGGGUUUGAAUGUGUAGAGCUCCAAUGUCAAUGUGCAGAGGAAAAGGGCAAUAGAAUUUUUCCCGCCAAAGCUUCACAGCGGAUGAACUUGGGAAAACCCGAAACAGCAUUUGCUUCGUUCUGCA